rnacentral:rRNA from 1 species
UGGGGAAUUUUGGACAAUGGGCGAAAGCCUGAUCCAGCAAUGCCGCGUGUGUGAAGAAGGCCUUCGGGUUGUAAAGCACUUUUGUCCGGAAAGAAAUCCUUGGCUCUAAUACAGUCGGGGGAUGACGGUACCGGAAGAAUAAGCACCGGCUAACUACGUGCCAGCAGCCGCGGUAAUACGUAGGGUGCAAGCGUUAAUCGGAAUUACUGGGCGUAAAGCGUGCGCAGGCGGUUUGCUAAGACCGAUGUGAAAUCCCCGGGCUCAACCUGGGAACUGCAUUGGUGACUGGCAGGCUAGAGUAUGGCAGAGGGGGGUAGAAUUCCACGUGUAGCAGUGAAAUGCGUAGAGAUGUGGAGGAAUACCGAUGGCGAAGGCAGCCCCCUGGGCCAAUACUGACGCUCAUGCACGAAAGCGUGGGGAGCAAACAGGAUUAGAUACCCUGGUAGUCCACGCCCUAAAACGAUGUCAACUAGUUGUUGGGGAUUCAUUUCCUUAGUAACGUAGCUAACGCGUGAAGUUGACCGCCUGGGGAGUACGGUCGCAAGAUUAAAACUCAAAUGAAUUGAU